GCUGGGUGUGGUGGCACACGCCUGUAGUCCCAGCUACUCAGGAGGGUGAGACCGGAGGAUCACUUGUGUCCAGGAGUUCUGGGCUGUAGUGCACUAUGUCAAUCAGGUGUCUGCACUAAGUUUGGCAUCAAUAUGGUGACCUCCCAGGAGUGGGGGGCCACCGGGUUAUCUAAGGAGGGGUGAACCAGCCCAGGUGGGAAAUGGAGCAGGUCAAAACUCUCAUGCUGAUCAGUAGUGGGAUCGGGCCUGUGAAUAGCCCCUGCACUCCAGCCUGGAAACAUAGUGAGACCUCAUCUCUA
rfam:Otolemur garnettii contig015767, whole genome shotgun sequence.